AUAAAUCUGAUAACUUACAAUGGCAUCAAUCAAACCUAUCUUAAGAGAUUCUUCUGGUGAAACAAUUCUGCUAGAGGAUAUCAAGUCAAGAGCCAUGCGAGACCCAAGAAUGGUUGCGAGUCGAGAAGUUGCUCCCCAUGCAGCACCCCCACCAAUUGCGCCUGAUUGAAAAGAAAACAUGGUUACAAUAAAUACUUUGCCGAAAAAGUUUAUGAACCCUUACUAAAAUAAAGGCAAGAAUGUAGAAUUGCAACCUUGUCCAUGAAUGAGAGCCAUGCUGACCAUUGGUAAGGCUUUCAGUCUGCUCAAAAUAUUGUGCAUGUAACAUGACAUUUUAAAACCACCUUCAGCACCAGCUGACGCUCUGGCAAAGUCAAGAUCUCCUCCUGAACACAGCAUACUACCAUCACCUCUAACAAGAAUGCCUUUUCCAUUUGACCAUUUCUCCAGCUUUUCAAUAAUAUCGCCCAACUGAACCAUCAUUAUUCCUGUAAUGUGAACCGCAAAAUUUAUACACAUAAAAUUUAAUUACAUGAGCGCUAUAAAUAAAAGUGUUAAAUCAAGACUUA